CCUAAGCAAAAUGACUUGUAUGCAUGUGUGUGCCCAUCAAACUCCAUUGCCAUUGAUGUCUUCUUCCUAUAUCUAGGAACAACACCUGGUUAUAAACAACUUCCUUCUCUACCACUUGAGACUAGUUACAUGACUUCAAGACAGAGAAGCAGAGAAACCUAGUCUUCAUGGCACAUGACUCUGUGAGGCCGCAGCAUGAAAGUCCCACUACACAAGUGACUUUUCAACACAGCUCUAAGUGUGUCUGAACUUGAGUUUCCCCUCCAUCCACUGCUGUGAGAACAGUUCGCCCACAGGACUGAGGUGAAGAAGGGUGGAGACCCUCACUUCAGUAUCCAGCCACUCCCUGCCACCCAUUGUAUGCACUACCUGCGUGAAGCCCCAGGGAAAGAAUACCUACAAAGGAAGAGUAGAGGAGGGGUCUGUCUCCAUCUGUCCUGCUGUGGGGGAGCCAGCAUCCUUGCUGGGUAAAGACUUUCUGUUGUGGUCUCUUUUGCAGGGGGACAUCACCCACACUCUAGUCAGGAUGCAAAGCUCUCAGCUACUUCUCUAACACCACGCCUGCCUGCAAGCCACCACACUCCUGUCAUGGUGAUCAUGGAAUAAUUCUCUAAAACUUUUUCUUCAGGAAAGGACCGUGAAUAUGGACAGCUCAAUGCCUCCAGCUUGGUGCCUCGUGUCCUUGUCCAUCUCCACAAGGGCUGUGCAGGCCAGGCUUACUCAUAGUAGCCGAGGGCCUUGGCAGAACACCCUGUGAUCCCACCAGAACAUGAGCGUGGGAGGCUGGUGAGGAGCCGUUAACAGGCAUUUCCCCAGUCAGAAAGCUCUUUCUCACCACCUCCCAGCUUCUGCAGAUGUCUCCGGCUCUCUGCCCUACUCCACUCCCAACCCCUACUGCUGGGGUUAGUGGCAGCCUCUAAAGCUGCUUACUCACUUCAAGAAAUAAGUUCUCUGAGAUACUGUGACUCUUCACACUGCAUCCAUCUCUCUUGCUUUGAGAUCCUCUGAUAAGACAAGAGGUGGUUACUCGGCACUCUUACUUCUGUCAUCUGUGUGAUUAUAAGGGGAUUAGACAAAAAGCCUGAACCUUGGCUGGAGCAGGCUGAACUUGCCAGUGGGGACACUUUUACAAGAUUUGGAAUUUAAUGUUCUAGCUUUCACAGCUGGGAUGGCUUUACUAGCUGGCUUUGUUGAUCAACUGGACUUGGAUUUAAUGGUGACCUUCAUCCAAUGAGGUCAGAAUGUCAGAACUUCUGUAGCAUCAAAGAGGACAGAACCCAAAUGCUUAAAAGGAUGAGAAUGAAGAAAUGGGUUUCAUGUAGAACCCACUCUUUUCUGCGGUAACCAGCUCCUCAGACCUGGCUGAGUGGUACUCAGUAAGGAUCUAUCAUCAAAUUACUUUGAAACUUCUGCUACCACCUCCUUUGGUAGUGCAGUCCAGAGAAGAGAUCUGUUACCAGCACAGUUUCCCUGACCUUGUCCAAUAAGAAUAAAGGACUCCCAGAUGACUGGGAGCAGAUAUCAGCAUGAGCCAUCAAUACUUGGGACUCACAUAAUGGAAGGAGGGAAGGACUCCUGCAAGCUGUUCUGUGAGUUACACAGUCAUGCUGUGACACACAGCAGCCCCCUUCCACAAUAAAU